CUCUCUUCUUGGGCUUUUUGAGUAGGAUCAAGUGUAGUAUCUGUUCUUAGUUUCUCAUUUGAUAUGUCCCAUAUAAGGGGACCUUAUAUUAGAUGGAUUUUGGAGGACGGGGGGCGAUUCCUAAGCCUGCUUCCAUCACAUUAUGCGUGUGACUGAUAGGGCAGUUUCUGCAGGUUCAGCGCAUUCCAC